GAUCCCUGAUAGAGCUCCGUACGUCGUCAUAGCUCAAGACGAGAGGUAGGUGCGGCCCAGCGUCGAUCUUCGCUUCAGGAAUGAGAGUUCGAGGGCAUUCCGAGGGAAGAAGGUAAGUAUCUUCGGUUGCACUCCUCGGCUGUUUUCACGCUGUUGAAGUUGAUCAGGGAUGAUGGAGUGCAAGAGUCCCCUUCGUCGAUCAGGUCGCUAUGUCUGAGAGUCAACAAGAGUCCAGUUUUUUCAGAUUCCACGGUCGUUUUCUGAUUUAAUGAAGCGCACGCCUGGAUCUGCCUCUUCCGAAAGUAACACCCAUCACUUAUUUCAGC
rnacentral:lncRNA from 1 species